GACGGAGGAUGCAAGCGUUAUCCGGAAUGAUUGGGCGUAAAGCGUCCGCAGGCGGCAGUUCAAGUCUGCUGUGAAAGACCGGGGCUUAACUUCGGAAAGGCAGUGGAAACUGAACAGCUAGAGUAUGGUAGGGGCAGAGGGAAUUCCUGGUGUAGCGGUGAAAUGCGUAGAGAUCAGGAAGAACAUCGGUGGCGAAGGCGCUCUGCUGGACCAUAACUGACACUCAGGGACGAAAGCUAGGGGAGCGAAUGGG
rnacentral:rRNA from 1 species